rnacentral:rRNA from 1 species
AGUCGACGCGAAAGUCCCCUUCGGGGGACAAGUAGAGUGGCGCACGGGUGAGUAACACGUAGGUAAUCUACCUUCGGGUGGGGAAUAACCCCGGGAAACCGGGGCUAAUACCGCAUAAUGCAGCGGCACCUAAUGGUGACAGUUGUUAAAGCGGGGGAUCGCAAGAUCUCGCGCCUGAAGAGGAGCCUGCGGCGGAUUAGCUAGUUGGUAGGGCAAUGGCCUACCAAGGCGACGAUCCGUAGCCGGCCUGAGAGGGCGGUCGGCCACACUGACACUGACAUACGGGUCAGACUCCUACGGGAGGCAGCAGUCGGGAAUUUUGGGCAAUGGGCGAAAGCCUGACCCAGCAACGCCGCGUGAAGGAUGAAAUCCCUCGGGAUGUAAACUUCGCAAGAACGGGAAGAAUAAGUUUGUGCUAAUACCACAAGCGAUGACGGUACUGUUUGUAAGCUCCGGCUAACUCCGUGCCAGCAGCCGCGGUAAUACGGGGGGAGCAAGCGUUGUUCGGAUUUACUGGGCGUAAAGGGCGCGUAGGCGGCCUCCGCAAGUCAGUUGUGAAAUCUCCGAGCUUAACUCGGAAAGGUCAACUGAUACUGCGGGGCUAGAGUGCGGAAGGGGCAACUGGAAUUCUUGGUGUAGCGGUGAAAUGCGUAGAUAUCAAGAGGAACACCUGCGGCGAAGGCGGGUUGCUGGGCCGACACUGACGCUGAGGCGCGAAAGCUAGGGGAGCGAACGGGAUUAGAUACCCCGGUAGUCCUAGCCUUAAACGAUGAAUGCUUGGUGUCUGGGGUUAUAUAGUCCCCGGGUGCCGUCGCUAACGCUUUAAGCAUUCCGCCUGGGGAGUACGGUCGCAAGACUG